rnacentral:rRNA from 1 species
AUUGAACGCUGGCGGCAGGCCUAACACAUGCAAGUCGAGCGGAUGAAGGGAGCUUGCUCCUGGAUUCAGCGGCGGACGGGUGAGUAAUGCCUAGGAAUCUGCCUGGUAGUGGGGGAUAACGUCCGGAGACGGGCGCUAAUACCGCAUACGUCCUGAGGGAGAAAGAGGGGGAUCUUCGGAACUCACGCUAUCAGAUGAGCCUAGGUCGGAUUAGCUAGUUGGUGGGGUAAGGGCCUACCAAGGCGACGAUCCGUAACUGGUCUGAGAGGAUGAUCAGUCACACUGGAGCGGAGACACGGUCCAGACUACUAAGGGACGCAGCAGUGGGGAAUAUUGGACAAUGGGCGAAAGCCUGAUCCAGCCAUGCCGCGUGUGUGAAGAAGGUCUUCGGAUUGUAAAGCACUUUAAGUUGGGAGGAAGGGCAGUAAGUUAAUACCUUGCUGUUGUGACGGUACCAGCAGAAUAAGCACCGGCUAACUUCGUG